CCCAUAUUUCACUCAUUGUUUUUUUCCCUUUCCCUUUAACUUGCUAGCCAUCCCAUGUAGCUUAGGAAAGGAAUUUAUUUUUUCUCUCCUCCAUUUAAACCACCAUAGUUCUUUAUUACCGCCACCUUAAUCACUUUUAGCCACCAUCGCUUUGCCAAUCAACCACCACUAUACCACCGUCUCUUCCCUUUCUUCUUUUCUUCCCCAUGGCUGGACCUCCACCACACGACGCCGUAACACUGCCAUGUUGUCGCAGCUCAUCAUCGUUAUUUUUCUCUCCUCUUAUUCUUUUUUUUAGAUAUUUCCAAAUCCUCACCCCAGUAUAGAUUCGUCAGAAUCGAUUGAUAUUGGUAAAGAUUUAUCUGUGAUUCUGGUGGCUUUCCUACAAACUGGUGUGCUUUUGGAUGGAACGAGUUUUGAGGAACUCUUAUGGUGUGUAGCGGAGUAUGAGUAGGAAUUUUUCUUUAAAUGCAAAAAUACAAUGUUUUAUGAAAAUCAUAAGCAUACAUUUGAGAUUUAUGAACUCUGUUGUUUUAUGGCACUAUUGACUUCGACCCACAUUGAGCUUUAUAUCUCACCAUUUUUAGUUUUCUAA